rnacentral:rRNA from 1 species
UACGUAGGGUGCGAGCGUUAAUCGGAAUUACUGGGCGUAAAGCGUGCGCAGGCGGUUGGGUAAGUCUGAUGUGAAAGCCCCGGGCUCAACCUGGGAAUGGUAUUGGAAACUGGCUGGCUAGAGUGUGGCAGAGGGGGGUGGAAUUCCGCGUGUAGCAGUGAAAUGCGUAGAUAUCGAGAGGAACACCUGCGGCGAAGGCGGGUUGCUGGGCCGACACUGACGCUGAUGCGCGAAAGCCAGGGGAGCGAACGGG